AGCUUAAAAAAGUAGUAUUAGCAUUUAAACACACACAUUAUUUAGAUACACAAAUACAGCUUAGUCUUCGGUAUGAGAAGAUAGUGAAUUCGUUUACCUUUUUUGUAUGCGUUGUGGGGGGUGGACUGACUGUUGGUCACUUUAAACGUGCGGUAUAUGGCAGUUCCGUCUCUGCAGUUUACAAUCGCUGCAACUGCUGUGGAGAGUUUCAUCUCUGCAGUUUGCAACCGCUGCAUCUGCUGUUGGAGAAAUUUUUCAUUGUGAUGGGAACACAAGUGGUACACCACGUAUUUUAAUAGAAGUGAUGGAAAAUUUUAUUUUUUAAGUUAUUAAAUUUUUAGCACACAUAUCCCACUAUUUGUAUAAUGACACGUGGUGUACCACCCCGUGUACCAGUCACACUGAAAAAUCUCACCUGUUGUUGGGAGUUCAUGGCUUCGUGCCCAUAUGGAGUAUUAUAUUUCUUUUCUUUAUUUAUUUAUUUACUUCUUGUUUUCUAUACAAUGGAAAGAUAGAAUGUGAUGAUGUAGUUAUAAGCUGAUUAAUUUAAGGGAUGACAAUAAAUUUAAAGUGCGUGUGUUUUCAUCUAGUGGUUCAUAAUUGUCUUUCUUGUGAUGGGUGAAUGUAGCAGUAGAUAAUUAUGUUUUUGAUAUUUUGUUUUUCAACUUGUAAAUAAUUUAUUAAUUGUAUCAUAUUUACGAAUUUGACCCUAUUUCUAUGGGCAGUUAUCUGGUUGCUUUAUGUAUGACCUGAGGGCUUUCUUGGCAUUUUUGAAUGUUUCACCAAACUGGCCUUCUCCCUUUAGAGUAACUCCAUUGUUGCUAAGGCCCCUCAAGGCUAUUCACUAUUUAAUCCACUCAAUGAACAAUGACUGCCCUAAAUGAACAGUAACUGCCUUUUGCAUCUCCACCCCUACACUGAAUAGCUCUGGCAAUAGGCAAUAAAAUAUUAGUAUUUUUUUAUUUAUAAAAUAAUACAAAAUAAUUUUAUUUGUAAUUUCGAAUAAGAUUUUUAAUCGUUCUCGUUGAGUCACGUGUCAUUAUCCGAAAAGACAAUUAUUAGCGAUGGAUAUCAAUAAGAUUUUUAUCCAAUGUCGUCGUGCCACGUGUCGUUACCUUUUCAGAAUCGUUGAUGAUAGAUUUCCGAUAAGAUUUUUAACCAAUCACGUCGCACCAUGUGUCACAAUCUAUUUACAAUCUUUAAGGAUAGAUUUCAAUCAGAUUUUUAACGAAUGGCGGCAUGCCACGUGGCAUUAUCUACAACCUAAUCCUUUAUGAAUCCUCCAUAUAAUCCACCAUCCAUCCUCAGAAAUCUCACACCAAUUUUCUCAAGAUCUCUAUCAUUAUUCAUAGUUUUUGCUUCCUUCUUCACCAAAAUCAAAAUCUAUAUUAUUAUUCAUAAUUUCUACUUCCUUCUUACAAUGUCUUCUUCUUCAAGGACGAUGUGGGAAAUCGAUCAUUAAGAGGAAGAAUUGUUUAACUAAUAAGAAGGAAUGUUCAAUCUCCAGGUGGCAUAAAAUGAGAUGGAAGAGGAUGAGGAGCAUAGAAGGAAAGAUGAUGAAGCAAGAAUGGAAAGAGCCUUACAUUCUCAUUGAGUCAUCCAAGCUGUGGCUCAAAUCUGCAGGCCCAGCCGUUUUGCAAACCUUGAUAGAAGCAGGCAACAAAGAGGUACGGAUCUCUUGGACGAUUAUUUUGUCUGUAACAAUGCAUUCCUUGAUACAUACUUUAGACGUCAUUUUAGAAUGGAAUGACAUUUGUUCAACAAAAUCUUGAUUGAUGUUUGCAACCAUGAUUCUUACUUUGUGCAAAAGAAUGAUGCUUUUGGUGUUAUGGGUCUCAUUCCUGAGCAAAAAAUUAAUACUGCCUUGCGGAUGCUUGCAUAUGGAGCAUCUGCAGACCAAGUGGAUGAGAUAGCGAGGAUGGGGAAAUCAACCAUUCUUGAAGCCCUAAUGAGGUUUUGCGGAGCAAUCGAAUCUAUCUACACUGCAGAGUACCUUCGAAUACCUAUUGAGAUUGACUUGUAAAGGCUUCUGAAGAAGGGCGAGAUGCGAGGUUUUCCUGGGAUGAUUCGAAGCAUCGACUAUAUGCACUAGACUUGGAAAAAUUGUCCAAGUGCAUGGCAAGGUGCUUAUAGGGACAGAAAAUGAUCAAAAAGUAUCAUUUUGAAGGCAGUGGCAUCUUUUGAUACAUGGCACGCCUUUUUUGGGGUUCCGGAAGCUCAAAAUGACCUCAAUGUCCAUACCCAAGCCCCAGUGUUCAACGAUGUCCUACAAGUUAAUGCAUCAAAAGUCACGUACUGGGUCAACGGACAUAAGUACGACGAGCCAUACUACCUAGCAGACGGCAUUUACCCAAGGUGAUCAUCAUUUGUCAAAACAGUGUCACGUCCGCGAAGUGCAAAGGAAAAACACUUUGCAAAUUGUCAAGAGGGGUGCAGGAAAGAUGUGGAGUGUUGUUUUGGUAUCCUUCGAGCUUGCUAGGAGAUUAUUAAAGGUGCUACCAGAAUGUUUGAUUUAGAGUCGCUUCGAUCUAUCAUGAUGAUGUGCAUCAUUCUUCACAACAUGAUUGUGGAAGAUGAGUACGAUUAUGAUGCCAUUGAUGAAUAUGAGCCAGACAUGAUGAACAAUUCCAGAACAUAAAUAUAUUAUGCUCAUAAUGCCACUAAAGAACCCGUGCAACAUGAGCCAUUAGAAAGGGAUGGACGUUACAAUGAAAUGCUCAUUCAACGAUAUAUUGCACUUCAAAGGCCAUAUAUGCAUAAUGCCCGACAAAUUGACUUUAUAAAGCACCAAUGAGAAUUGAAACAAGCUGAAGAUAUUUAAGUUCAUUUAGUGUGUUUGUUUUUAUUUGGUGUGUUUAUUUAAUUUUAUUUGGUAUGUUUUUUAAGUUCAUUUAGUGAGUUUUUUAUUAUUUGGUAUGUUUAUGUAAUUUUAUUUGGUGUGUUUAUAUCCUUUGAAUAAAGAUUGUCUUAGUUUAAAUAAAAUAUCAAAUUAAAUAAAUAUACUCUUAGUUUAAAUAAAGUACUAUAUUCAAUAAAUAAGAAAUUACAACCCAAAGUGAUUGAAAAAUUAUGGGCUCCGAUUAUAAACAAAGUGAUGGGAAAAUUAUGGGCUCGUGAAUGGAAAAUCAUCACCUAACCAAUUUGUGAUGCUAGGAUCAUCUUCUUUUGUGGUGCUAGGACCAUCUCCUCUAGUUCUCGCUUCUCUUGCACGCCUCCUUCGCACCACAUCCGCUUUCUCUGAAUUCCAAAAAUAUUUAGAAUUCGGAGACUUCCCUUCUAAAUUCGUGUUCAUAAUGUCACGAUCUCGUUAAGCCCUUCUUUCUUCUCUAAUCUCUUCCCUUUCUUGCCUAAGUAACUCUCUUUCUCUCUCAUUAGCUUAAAAUACUCUCUCAACAGCUAUAGCUUUUGCCUCCUCUCUAGCCUUAUCAACCUCAAAUUUAGCCAUUUCCCGUGCCAAAGUCAAUUCACCAUAGCGAGCAAGUUCUUUCAUAUACUUUGUAUAAUCAUUCUUGGAAACACUCCCUUUUCUUUUUGAAGCCUUCUUACCUUGAGACCUAAUGGGAUAACAGGUCGACUACGACGCUUGUUCAGGGGGUAGAGUUUCCAGCACUUGUUCUGCGUCAUCUUCAUGAACAUGCUAGGAAUGAUCGGGCAUAGAGUGUAGAGGGGUGUUGUUCAUGACAACUUAUGGACUGACAGGCACAACUCUAAAUUUAGGACAAUCUUUGAUAAUAUUCCAACAUUCCCACCGGGUGAAUGAUUGCUUUUGGUUUUUGGAUUUGGCAUUAUACCAAGAUUGUGCUUGAAGUGUCUAUAUAAUGCGGGAGAAGAAAUAAUUAUAAUCAAAGUAGCUCAUGUAAAUUUGGGUAUAGUACAAACAAAUAAAUAAUAUAUUGUUACCUAAUCCACUAAAUUUUCCCCACUUCGAAGAUUACUACUAGUUUGUGCCAAGGCGUCUCUCCCCACAUACUAAACAAUUGGCCAAGUAUUUUCCAACGACUGGACAUUGAUUCUUGAUUCUUUUCCCACCAAUUUUCUCAAGAUAAUUGGUAUGAAUAAGACUCCACACUUCUUGCAACUGCAUCUCAUUACCCGUAAUCGAUUCAUGAGUAACUUCAACCCAGUUAGUACACAACGCAACAUCUUCAAUAAGUGUCCAAUUCGUAGCUGCAUCAUUAGUCAUUUUGUUGGAAAAAAAAAAUUGGAUUGAAAUUUUGAGAGAAAGAUAGGAAUGUGGUUGAAAGUAGUUGAGAAAAUAUGAAAUUGUGGUGUAAGAUAGAAGAUAAUGAGAAGGUAUUUAUAGAAAAGUAAAAUUUUUUUUUUUUUAAUUUUUCAAUUUUUUUUCGAAUUUUUAUUAAUUUUUUACAUUUUUAAAAUUUUUUAUUCAUAUAAUUAAUCUCUGAUGUUGGAUUAAAAAAAAAUUUGAAUUCCAACACUCCAGAUUGUACCACGUGGCACAACGAUAAGAUUUUCAUAAUUUUAAACUGUUUUUUCUUUUCUUUUUUUAAUUUAUAAAGACGAAUAACGUGGACCGUUGAUCUUAAUUCCAACGGCUGCAAUUAAAUAAGGUUUCAAAUAUUUUUUUACCGUUGGAAAUCAAACGGUUCAUAAAAUGUUGCCAUUGAAAUCCAACAGACGUGAGGAAGCCACAUGGCCUCCCCAACAGUAACAUUUUCAUAAAUGAUCCACGGGCCCCAUUUCUGAAAUCGUAUCGGACUACGCGCACCAACGCGUGCCUGAUGCAAAACAGACAGAAAUCGUGGCUAACGUCGCCUGAUGUCAACCUUGACAUCGGGCUCUCGGGCCAGCUACUCUCGCCAGGCCUCUCCCUCGGGCCCCCCCAAGCUCAAUAUCCCGGAUGGGCUGGACGUAGUUGCUCAGGCUAUUGCCCUUUGUUUUGGGGCAUGUCGCUGGGGCUACUCCACACAGCGGAGUUGCUCUUAUAUAUAUAGAAUAUCAAUUAUCUGAAAAACAAGUAAACCUGCAGUUAUUGAGAUUAAAAGACAACAAAAACAAAUGAAAGGGCAGAAACCUUGAAGACAAACUAGGAGUCCGAGACGAGCUUGAACUCCUGCACUUGCUUGAAGUUCUCCCAUGGCUUUACCCACACCUUGGCUUCAUAAACAUUCGUCUUUCCGCCAUCGGUGGCCUCAAUUUUCAGAUAGUGCAGAGAGCCUGAAACCACUUGUACCUUUUCAUGCACUACCCUCACAAACUCCAGCAAAGCAUUCUGCACAAUAUUCAACAAAUCAAUCAAUAACUAAUUAGGACUCUAUCCUAGGAAGAACUAAUGCCCAAAAGUGCUUCUAUUAAUAUUUGCUUUCAUUACAAAGCCAUCGAAUUUUCUUUAAAAAUCCGGGCGUUUACUAGAAAAGCACUUCAUGAAGAAGCAUCCGGCAUGUGCUUCUAGAAAGUGCUUCUAUGACUCAGUGGCUAUUCAAUUAAUCAAUCAAUUUCCUUAUUCAACUUCAUUAACAAUCCAAGAAAAAGCACUUGAUGAAGAAGCAUAUGGAAGGUGCUUCUCUAGAAAGUGCUUCUACGAUGAUGCGAAGAAAAAGGGUAUGGAAGUCCUCCUUCUUGUUGUGUUCAUCGACGGCGAAGCGAGCGAGGCUUUCGGUCUUGACCAUGUUGGUGAAACCUUCGUUAUUGCGAACUGUACCAACUGCGGCCAUAUUUGAUUCUGCGGCGAGCUCUCUAUGUACUUUGACUUUUAUAUUUUUUCCUGUAGAAGAAGAAAAGGACUUUUGUGGCUGACACACCAUGGCCGCAGCCAUGGCUGCCACAUAUUGUGUGUUGCACCAUGCUUUAUCUUCUUCAUCAGAAUCCUCAUCUUCUCGUCACAUUUGUGCUCAUUUUUCUUCCAAUUCGGAAUUGGAUGAGGAUCCCUAGUUGGAAUUCGAAGAGGAUCCAAAGUUGAAAUUCAUUGUAAACUUGAAUUGAAAGAGAUUGAUAUCCAUUUUGUUCGUGACAGGGUUGCCCAACAGUUACUUCAAAUGCAGUUUGUUUCCUCUAAUGAGCAAUUUGCUGAUAUUCUGACAAAGGGCCUAUCUGCACCACUUUUUCGUGCUCAUUGCUGCAAUCUCAGGCUUCGUGGUCCUUCUCCUGAGCUUGAGGGAGGAUGUUAACAGUAUAGAUAAUAGAUGGUUAGAUACAUUGACAUGUGUCAAGAGAUGUGGUUGUAUAAUAUCAGUAUGGUUGUUAUAAGUAGGAUAAGGUGUCUUAGUGAAGAAGUAAUAUAGAUAACUAUAUAACAAUUGUAAGUAGAGUAAUUCAGUAACUUUGCAGUACAGAAAUAUAAUUCAUUUCUCUCUCUCUCUCUCUCUAUCUUUCUAUCUCUAAAACCUCUUCAUCUUCUCUGUGAUAUUACAUUACUGCAACUUAAUAUGUUGCUUAACAUGAAGGUGUGUGAAUUAUAGUCCACUAUCCACCCUAUUUAUAGCAAAAAAAAAAAAACAAUUCAAAUCCAACUGCUAGCUGACAUCAGCUAGCCGUUGGAUUUCAAUUUAAAUUUUUUUUCGGCCAAUUUUUUUUUUUAAUAUUAAAAGUUUCUUAUUUUUUCCUAUAAAUUUAAGUUGUUAUAGUUUUUAAAUUUAAUUUGUAGUUUUUAAAUAUAAGUUUUAGUUUUUAAAUUUAAAUAAUAAAUUAUGUUUGGUCCUAUAGCUCUUUGGCCCUUGGUUGGAGAUGAUUUUUUUGUGACAUGGCUAAAACUAGCUCUAUGGCCCUUUGGCCCUCGGUUGGAGAUAGUAAGAAAUAUGAUAUUGCACUGUUCAUUAAAAUAUUAAUUUCUUGGAGGACUAGAAAACUAAAACGAGUCAUUUGUCCAUCAUUCGGUUGAAGAUAGCCUUAAUACACUCUCUUUGGAAGGAUCCUCUGAUAACUUGACACGUGUUGGAGUUUCAUUUUGUUUGCUUAGUCUGUAAACUUUGUUUUCUUCUUGUUUGUUUAUUUGUUUUUGCGUUGCUUACUUGACUCAGUUCGAUAUUAUGUCAUUGGUUUUAUUACAUAGCAUUAUCAUGCCACUCAUGGCUUAAAUCUAAAUUAUCAUGCCUCUCAUGGCUUGAAUCGUGCUAGAUUUACAGUUUUCUUUACAUUCUUAUACUUCACCUAGUCAUGUUAUUUGGCCAAUGCAUUUCUUUUCGAGAUUAGUGUUCCUGUUUUAGCAAUGACGCGAUUAAAACCAAUCUUCCUUCAUUUCACCCUUUUUAUUUACAUCUUUUUUUAACAAACGAUAUUACUUACACUAAAAAUGAGAGAGUUAGCUUUAACCUCACAAUAAGAUGAGAAUAAUGUGGUUCAAAUUCGCCCUUCGCAAAAAUCGAACCUACCGUCUCUCACUUACAAGUGAAGAGAAAUAUCAUUAAACUGUAAUAUUAAAUACUAAAUGGCUCUUUAUUUAUAUUUUAGGCAAGCAUAUCACACAUUUAGUUCUAAGUCCUCGAGUCUUCGAGGAAUAAAAACAAAACUAAUGGAACCAGCGUCCCAUUCACUACACUUGUUUCGUUUAGUUAAGAGGUUAAAUAUAGCUAGACUGGAUCUAUUUGCCAGUUCCCUACGAAUGAUUACAUUAAGUAUCAAUAAGGGUGGUUGAAAAAUGUAAAUUGACCGAUAGCCCGGCAGCGCGGGACGAAGCAUCAUUUCAAAUAGAAGAAACUGUUCAUUACCUUGCAUUGUUUUCCUGUUAAGUGCAUUCUCAACUAGAGAUGGUUUAUCGGAGCUUAAAAAAGUAGUGUUAGCAUUAAACACACACAUUAUUUAGAUACACAAAUACAGCUUAGUCUUCGGUAUCGGGACAUACAAGGUGUACUAAAAGCAAGCAAAGCAUGUGAACACGCAUUCAGUUAGUUUACUUGGAUUUAGGAGUGAUCUGCCUCCAUCUGAUUCAGACUGAAGGUGCCUUCCAUAUUCUUAUGCACUUC
rnacentral:lncRNA from 1 species